rnacentral:rRNA from 1 species
UACGGAGGUUGCAAGCGUUGUUCGGAAUGACUGGGCGUAAAGGGAGCGCAGGCGGCCAAGUCAGUCUGAAGUGAAAGCCCGGGGCUUAACCCCGGAAUAGCUUUGGAUACUGCCUGGCUUGAGUGUGCGAUAGGAAAGCGGAAUUCCAGGUGUAGCGGUGAAAUGCGUAGAUAUCUGGAGGAACACCGGUGGCGAAAGCGGCUUUCUGGCGCAUAACUGACGCUGAGGCUCGAAAGCGUGGGGAGCGAACGGGAUUAGAUACCCGGGUAGUCCCU